rnacentral:rRNA from 1 species
AUUGAACGCUAGCGGGAUGCUUUACACAUGCAAGUCGAACGGCAGCGCGGACUUCGGUCUGGCGGCGAGUGGCGAACGGGUGAGUAAUGUAUCGGAACGUGCCCAGUCGCGGGGGAUAACUACGCGAAAGCGUAGCUAAUCCCGCAUACGCCCUACGGGGGAAAGCAGGGGAUCGUAAGACCUUGCACUAUUGGAUCGGCCGAUAUCGGAUUAGCUAGUUGGUGAGGUAACGGCUCACCAAGGCGACGAUCCGUAGCUGGUUUGAGAGGACGACCAGCCACACUGGGACUGAGACACGGCCCAGACUCCUACGGGAGGCAGCAGUGGGGAAUUUUGCACAAUGGGGGCAAGCCUGAUCCAGCCAUCCCGCGUGUGCGAUGAAGGCCUUCGGGUUGUAAAGCACUUUUGGCAGGAAAGAAACGUCGCGUGCUAAUACCCCGUGGAACUGACGGUACCUGCAGAAUAAGCACCGGCUAACUACGUG